UACAGAGGGUGCGAGCGUUGUCCGGAAUCACUGGGCGUAAAGGGCGCGUAGGUGGUGGCUUAAGCGUGCGGUGAAAGCUCGGGGCUCAACUCCGAGUCGGCCGUGCGAACUGGGCUCACUGGAGCAUAGUAGAGGCAGGUGGAAUUCCGGGUGUAGCGGUGGAAUGCGUAGAGAUCCGGAAGAACACCGGUGGCGAAGGCGGCCUGCUGGGCUAUGGCUGACACUGAGGCGCGACAGCGUGGGGAGCAAACAGGG
rnacentral:rRNA from 1 species